rnacentral:rRNA from 1 species
AUUGAACGCUGGCGGCAUGCCUUACACAUGCAAGUCGAACGGCAGCGGGCCUUCGGGUGCCGGCGAGUGGCGAACGGGUGAGUAAUGCAUCGGAACGUGCCAUUGAGUGGGGGAUAACGUAGCGAAAGUUACGCUAAUACCGCAUAUUCUGUGAGCAGGAAAGCAGGGGACCGCAAGGCCUUGCGCUCUUUGAGCGGCCGAUGUCAGAUUAGCUAGUUGGUGAGGUAAAGGCUUACCAAGGCGACGAUCUGUAGCGGGUCUGAGAGGAUGAUCCGCCACACUGGAACUGAGACACGGUCCAGACUCCUACGGGAGGCAGCAGUGGGGAAUUUUGGGACAAUGGGCGCAAGCCUGAUCCAGCCAUGCCGCGUGAGUGAAGAAGGCCUCGGUUGUAAAG